AACAGCUAGCACCGAGCACAAGUUAUUUUGUUGGCCGUGUUUACUUUUUAAUCCGAGUAAAGGGACGGAAUGACAGACCCAAGGACUUUAUUUACAAGUGACAGCUUCUGGAACUUAAACUACUAAGUUCCUGGCAGUGCUCACGACGCGAACAUGCUGAGACAGUCAGACCUCUUUAAUAAAGCUCACCUACUGCCCAAGAGUAUGACGGCAAUUCAAGACACGCCUGUCAACUUCAUUCUUCGUGGAGAUCCUGCAUACCCACUUCUUGAAUGGCUAAUUAAAGGAUACCCAUCAUCCCCCACACUGACCCCAGAACAAGAGUCUUUUAAUAUCUAUCACAGUGCUGCAAGAACAGUGGUAGAACUUGCAUUCGGACAUUUCAAGUCAAGAUGGAGGGUUCUGAUGAAA